GAUGAACGCUGGCGGCGUGCCUAAUACAUGCAAGUCGAGCGAACGGACGAGGAGCUUGCUCCUCUGACGUUAGCGGCGGACGGGUGAGUAACACGUGGAUAACCUACCUAUAAGACUGGGAUAACUUCGGGAGACCGGAGCUAAUACCGGAUAAUAUAUUGAACCGCAUGGUUCAAUAGUGAAAGACGGUUUUGCUGUCACUUAUAGAUGGAUCCGCGCCGCAUUAGCUAGUUGGUAAGGUAACGGCUUACCAAGGCAACGAUGCGUAGCCGACCUGAGAGGGUGAUCGGCCACACUGGAACUGAGACACGGUCCAGACUCCUACGGGAGGCAGCAGUAGGGAAUCUUCCGCAAUGGGCGAAAGCUUGACGGAGCAACGCCGCGUGAGUGAUGAAGGUCUUCGGAUCGUAAAACUCUGUUAUUAGGGAAGAACAAAUGUGUAAGUAACUAUGCACGUCUUGACGGUACCUAAUCAGAAAGCCACGGCUAACUACGUG
rnacentral:rRNA from 1 species